UACGUAGGUGGCAAGCGUUGUCCGGAUUUAUUGGGUUUAAAGGGUGCGUAGGCGGUCAUGUAAGUCAGCGGUGAAAUCCGGCAGCUCAACUGUCGAUGUGCCAUUGAUACUGCAUGACUUGAGUACUGAUGAGGUAGGCGGAAUUGACGGUGUAGCGGUGAAAUGCUUAGAUAUCGUCAAGAACACCGAUAGCGAAGGCAGCUUACUAAGCAGUAACUGACGCUGAUGCACGAAAGUGUGGGGAUCAAACAGGA
rnacentral:rRNA from 1 species